GCAUCUCUCUUCUCCCAUCCACUGGUUGGUGGUGGUACCAAAUCUUCAGCCUCAGGCUCCAAAGAUGCCUGAGUUUUCUCCUGCUGUGCCAGGAUGAGAUAUUCAGACACAGAGGUUGAAAUUGUUGGAACAUCUGACAUAGUUUCUGCUUGGCCGGUCUUAUCUGCCGAAGGUAGCAGGCUCAGAUCUUCGAACACAGGCCUACAAGGGGAAGACUCCUCCCGCUCCUGCGAUGGCUCAGAAUGCUCAGGCACAGGCGUGACCACUGAGGACCCCGCCUCUUCUUCAUCUGCCUCUGAGAAGUAGGGAUAGUCUGGAGCAGACCUCCUAGGGUUGCAGGAUCAGAAAGGCCUCUUGACUCUCAUCUUCCGAUAGAACUGCCUGGCUCAGUGCUGCUGGGGGAAGUAGCCCAAUAUCUUCUUUCUCAUCUUCUGCCUGAAUGAUGGGCUCAGAAACACGUUGGGACUUUAAUGGGAGCUUGUGGUCACCUGUUUUCAACAGCAACUCUUGCGCAUGUGCUGGAACAGAAUACUCAGCCGCAGAUUCAGAUUCUGACUAGAAUCUUCGGGUUCAGUGGUAUCCGUGAUUGGCGUAGAAGUUUCCACUCCCCUCUCUAGUUGUGCCUUUCUAAGAACCAUGGGUUCAGGCGCAUGCUCCUCCUCUCUGUGGACUAUGGACUCAGGCUCAGGCACAUGCUCCUCCUCUCUGUGAACUAUGGGCUCAGGUGCAUGCCCCUCAUCUCUGUGGACUAUGGGCUCAGGCACAUGCUCCUCCUCUCUGUGGACUAUGGGCUCCGGUGCAUGCCCCUCAUCUCUGUGGACUAUGGGCUCAGGCGCAUGCUCCUCCCCUCUGUGGACUAUGGACUCAAGCUCAGGCACAUGCUCCUCCUCUCUGUGGACUAUGGGCACAGGCCCAGGCGCAUGCUCCUCCUCUCUGUGGACUAUGGACUCAGGCUCAGGCGCAUGCUCCUCCUCUCUUUGAACUAUGGACUCAGGCGCAUGCUCCUCCUCUCUGUGGACUAUGGAUUCAGGCGCAUGCUCCUCCUCUCUGUGGACUAUGGGCUCAGGCGCAUGCUCCUCCUCUCUGUGGACUAUGGGCUCAGGCGCAUGCUCCUCCUCUCUGUGGACUAUGGGCUCAGGCGCAUGCUCCUCCUCUCUGUGGACUAUGGGCUCAGAUGAGGUCACGUAUUCAGACGCUUGUUCUGUUUUUUCUGUUGAAAUCGGCUCUAGCCCUUCCAUGUCUGGCUCAAACUUUUCUUGGAUGGCUGGCGCUGGUCUUGGUGGUCCUGUCUCUAAAGACUCCUUCUCUGCCUCCCAUGGCAUGGAAUGGUUGACAGAAACCAAGCCUUCCUGUUGCACAUCAUCGGCUGAGCCUGUCAAGACUGAAGCAUCAUCCUCUGAACUUUCCUUUCCUUGUGCAUUCUGUUCCAGUUCUUCCUUUGCUCUUUCAAGGACCAUGGUUGCUGGAAUGCUUGGUGGCUCCAUUCUGUGGGUCUUUGAUUCAUCAGCUGGCUGUUGUGGCAUCAUUUGUGGAAGGCUGAGAUUUUCUUCUUGAUCAGCUGUAUCAUUUCUGGCACUGGAGGGAAAUGCGUGUUCUGUUGAAGAUGGAACAUUUAAAUUGGAAUCGGCAUACGUUUUCUUUUGCUCUUCGUGACUAAACAAUGAGGUCCUGGACCCUUUGGAGAGGGCACCUCUCCAGGGUGGAGCAAGCUCUCUUACUUUGUCUUCUUCUGGGCUCUGGGCUAAUUUCCUUUGGGGAACUAUAUUAGAACCACCAUUGCUCAAAUCCGGCUCUAGACUAAUAGAUGAAUCUUUUCCUCUCCUGUAAUGUAUUUCCUUAAUUACAUAACCUUUUGGCAACGUCCCAUAAAAUUGUAGAGGAAUUAACUCUUCUUUAACUGAAUUGAACAUCUUUAUUUUGUAUUGUACCGUUCCUAUGUAGACUGGCUUCAACACUAAUGGUUUGUGCUCUUUGUAGAUAGCCCCAGUGAUGGGAGGCGUAUUUGAUGCAGUCUUCUUCCUUCUUGUUUUAUCAUAAGUGCCAAUAGAUGACUUUUCAUUCUCAAUAUUGAGCACAGGGCUUUCUGAAAUUGAAGGACCAUCUUCUUGGUUUGUCAGAACAUCUUGUGAUUCCAGAGAAUUCCUUUUUUUGCUGCCUUUCCGACGCAGUGACGGUGAGCCACGCUUGGACUUCUGAGUUCUUUUCCGUGUCCUUUUAACUUCAUCCAUAAUAAAGGAAACACUUCCUGGAGGAGAAGUCAGAGCUGACCCUUCCAAACUACAUAUUCCCGAGGUCUGACUUUCUCCUGAAGCCCAAGGAGUGGAAGAUCUGCUUGAGUUGGUCUCCCAGGUUAUCCCACUGUCUUCACGUUGAACUGCCACCAUGGAAAAGGAAGGGUCAGAGACGAUACACUCCUGCUUGGUCUUGCCCUCCUCAUCCUCAUCUGAUAACCUAUGGUGAACAAUACCAGUAAUUAUAUAUUAUAGUAAUAAAUAAAAUUAAUAUUAAUUAUUAGAACAAGUAAAUGUAAAAUAUAGAAGUCAGUACUCACAUCCACCUCAAAUGUGGGGUGAAUAUAAAAUAAAGUUUAAAAAGUUAAAAUCCAGAUAUCAGUGCAGUAAGAAAGCCCAGGCCAGAAUUGCUCAGUAGCCAGCCUUAAGCCAGAAGGAAAGCUGAAAUUCAUUUUCACUCCUUCCCUAUUCUGGGUUGCCCUCCUGGUCCUCCCGUGUUCCCCAGUCAGGAAGGCUCCCUUCUCUCACCAGGACCCACAUGUGACCCUGGCAUCUGUGCUCUUUGUUCCCACAGGGACCCCCAAACCUAGCUAGGUUUUGUGGACCACCCACUCCAUCUGCUUCCUAUCUGACCAGGAGCCUGACUCCUGCCUCUUAUUGGCCUGGUCUCGGCCCUUCCUAUUUUCCUUCCAUCUGGCUUUCCCAAGCAUCCCAUUAGCAUUCCUCAUGGAGACGAAUCUCAAUAAACUCUUCUUACUU